rnacentral:piRNA from 1 species
UCCUGACUGCUGGACCUAAGCUAAGGCCUA